rnacentral:lncRNA from 1 species
AGGUCAACAGCUACUUAUAACUUAAUUUAGAUUAUCCCCUAUAUAUUAAAGAUGGCAUGGAAUGGGUAAAUGUAAACAUAAUAAAAAUAGAGGCCUUAUAUUAAAUAAAAUAUUCCAAAACACAAUAGAAAAACCAAAACCGAUAAUUAAAAUGUCAAAAACCAAAAAUGAAAACUCAAACAUAAGAGUAAAAAAAAUGGGGAAAAAGCCUCUAAAAAACAUGUCUUCCUGGUGAAACUCAUUAGCCACUUUUUCAGUCUUUUCCUUCUUGAUUCGAGUAGUACAUGGAGUCCUUGUAACCGAAUUCUGAUCGACUGCUUCUUCCAAGUUAACAAUAGUCGUCCCUCUGCGUUUGGCUGGAGUAAGAUCAGUUCGUUCAACUUCUUCAGAAGACUCAGCAGAUAGGAUGAGGGAACCCUGUAAGGAAAACCAAAUAAGUUAUAUAACUAAUAGAUAAAAUCAUUCUAGACAUGGAGUAUGGAGUAAUUAAAACUAAAAAAACAAAAACCUCUGGUGCAUCGGAGAGUACGGUAUUGUCGCCUGUAUAGGUUAGAUUUGGUAGCUGGCAAUUAUAUAAGGGCACACAUUAAGCAAACUACUGCGAAACGGUAUAAGUAUAAUUAAAUGCAAAACUCAAAUGGAUACCUUUGGGUAGACCUUUGUAUCAAACUCACUAAUUAUCUCAUCAUUGGUGAUAAUCUUAGUGACCUUGUAAGUGUCAUGGCUAUAGAGAAAGUUUUCUCUUUCAAUACCAACCUUGAACAAAUAAGUCUUUCCAACCAAAUUCUUAAGAGCAAGGGGUAUAGCAGCCGGUUCCUCAAGCUAUUAUACUAUAAAUUGCAUCUAUUAUAAGCUUAAGAACUAUAUAACCAUAUAAAAUAAUAUAGAUAUUAGAUAUUAUUAUAAUUGAUAUUA